GUCGAUGGUAGCUCAGGCGGGGCAGCUUAACUGCUGGCCGGAUCCAAUGCUCCCGGUAUUUCCACCCCCGUCUGGGCUAUAGCCAUC
rnacentral:antisense_RNA from 1 species